GGAAGCGAAGGGGUCUUUCGAAGAGCCCAUCUACCGCUCCUUCUGCAAGACCUUCGCCAGCCCCGGUGCGGGAACCCCAAAGACGCAGGGUGCCGAGCGACCGAGGUGAAGGGCAGUGGGAGGAAGUGGGCUUAGGGACAUGCCUGCAGAGAAGGCGUCAUUGUGCUCCAGCGUGUCCCUGGAAGAGAGAGAGGAAAGGAGAGACAUUGACGUGAGAGAAACGUUGAUCAGCUGCCUCUCGAUUGAACCAGCAACCGAGGAUGGCUGCUGUUUUUCUGAAGAAGUUACCAUUACGAACCAUGACGACUGGAAACAGUUGCCUUAGAAGAUGUUUGGGGAAGUACACCGUUCAGACGAUGGCACCAGCUCAGUUGGCCCGUACUGCCUCUGCCCCAAGACCGGCCUACCUAAUUCACGCAAAAGCUUUUAGUACUGUUGAAGACACCCAGGCUGAAAGAAAAAAGAAAGAAAAGAAUGAAAUUGAUUUUAGUAAUGUUGGAAGAAAAAUCAGUGAGCGAAUUAUUCAUUUAUUUGAUGAGCAGGGCAAUGAUUUGGGAAACUUGCACCGAGCAGAAGUGAUUCGGCUCAUGGACGAGCGUGACCUGAGACUCGUGAAAAGGAAGCCCAGCGCUGAGCCCCCCGAAUACCAGCUCAUGACAGGCCCGCAGAUUCAUGAGGAGCGGCUGAGACAGAGAGAGAAGGAGAAGGCGAGACCUAAAUCUGGUGGGUAGUUUGCUGUUUGCCCCUUGAAUUCUGUAUGGCUACAAACCAGCAGUUUCAAGUCAGCAUUUGCUGUGGUGCCUCUGACAAUGGGGAGGUGCAAAACUGGAAAACUCAGUUUCAUCACUGUUUCCAGUGCUUUUCAUCCCUCACUUAAUUUCUAUUGCUUGUUUUCUUCCUUUUGCAUCCUGUGUUGUCAUCUCCUCCUUUAAACGUACGUAAAAUGAGGAAAAACAAGGUGAACACCACCAGAAUGAUAGGUGCUCUUUCCCCUUUGCCCUUGGCUUUGUUGCCUAAUGCUCGGGUCGGUAGCGUAAUGAUGAGUGCAGUGAAAUGGGAUUCCAAAGGGGUGGACUCACGUUCCCAUUGCUGUCCUGAGUCCCUCAUUUACCCUCCUUAAAAAGGAAACAAACAGCCUCUCAUCUCAAAGUGGAGGCGUUUGGUUAAUUCCAUGGAAACACCUUUUAAACUUGGAAGUGAUUCAUCUGCCAUGCCUAAGUAUUUUGUUACAAUACUGGCAGUAACACUCCUUUACAUAUUUUGCCAAUCACCAGACAAGGCAUUUGUCAUCAAAACCUUAUAAAAGCUAUUAAUGGGAUCUGAGGUGAAGAUGCUGGUUUUUCAUGAUUUUUAGUUUGUACUCACCAUAAUGAAAGAUUGCUCAAUGGUGAAAGCACUGGGGUGGGGAGUGGAAGACUGAGCCCAGAGCUGCCACAGCGAGGCGGUGCGCCUUGAGAAAAUCGCACUGUCCAGUGGUGGCUUGGUCUGUAACGCCACACCGAACAACCAGAAUGUUGACUGGGAAACAAAAAUGUGUAAGAAGAGGCCACCUAGGGGGGUAAGGACAUCAAACUGCGUCACUGAAAAAAGGAGCUGACAGACUGGGGAAGACACCUUGCCGAGUUCAGAGACUGUCAGAGGCAUCACUUUGUCCUGACGGGAAACUAGGACCAUCUGGUUGAAGCUUUAAGGAAGCAAAUAGGUGUUAAUAAAAGCAUUCCUUUUUAGUAAAAUUACUCUUAUUUUGGAAAUUAGAUGCAGAAAAAUAUAAUAAACUCUUACCAUCCAAAAUGAACAAGCAUUAACAUUGUUGUACUUUAGAUUUCUUAAAUAAAACAUGACAGAAAGUUAAGGUCCCCUGUGCUCCCUCCUCCCCUUCCGCACUCCUUCCCCAGAGGCCCCUGCUCACUCUUGGACUCAGGGUGUGGGUCCAGUCCAUGUUGCUAAACUCUAGUUAGGACAGAUAUAGUCAUCGACAGUAUACAGAAUAGUAAUGCUUGCUUAGAAUUAUGAAUGGCUCACUGUUGUUUUCAAGGUGUUUAUAUAAUGGCUAUAGCCAAUUAUAAUUACUAAUGACAUUCCAUCAUGAGCACAUACUGUAGCUUUGUCAGCCCAUUUCCCUGGCCGUUGGACCCGUUUCCAGUCUUUAUUAUUACGAAGGAGCACAUGCUCGGCCGAGUCUCCUGGUGCCCGCGCCAGACGCCUGCAGGGCAAACUGGUCAGCUGUGUCAACGGCUCUCCCCGCCCUCGCCCACACUUGGUGCCGUCAGACUCUCCUGUCAGGCUCACGGCCGAGAGACCGCAGUACGGUUUGUGUCUCCUUUCAGCCGUUGAGUCUCCUCGUCUGCCAACUGCUUGUUCCUAUUCCUCUUUUCUUACUUUGAUGGUUUAUUUUUGUUCUGAUUUAUACGGCUCUGUUCUGUGUGAAGAGAAAAACCUUGUAGUUAAAUUUCUCUUUUGUUUUUCCCCUUGUUGUGAGGUCAUAAACUUAUCCUUUCUUUUCUCCCAUUUCUAUUCAAGUUGUAUUUUUCACAUUUAGGUAGUCCAUCAAGGGAGAUGGUUGUUUGGGUCAAAAUCUAACUAUUGCCCCGUACAAAACUCAUUUGUCCCAGUGCCUUUAGUGAGCAGUUUGUUCCUUCCCUGUAAAAUAACCUGCUAACAGUCGGGAGUUCCAGAGUCAAGGGAAAGAAUGCAGGACGCAGCCUGGGAGACCCCACUGUAGCCAGGAGGGCAUCACAAAAGAGUAAGAUGAGAAAAGCACUUCCCAGACGAUCCACCUCAGAAAGAAAAAUAAGGAUAAUUAAGUUUAUCAUAAAGCCAAACUUGUUCCUUUUGAAAGACCAUUCUUUUGUUCUUUAAUCAAACGAUGGUAACAAUGACUGGAGACAUUUCGUAUUUAAACACCCUUUCUUGACAGGCCAAAAAAAAUGGUACCUUUGUGUCUGUCACCCUUUUGUAAGUGUUUCCUAGACUGUGAAACGAGUCAAGUGAGAGGGCCCCAGGGCAGCCAGAGGUGCUCUGUGUGCUGAGGGUUGGUCUCACCCACAGGGCAGUAAACAGACCAGCACCAAGUUUCACUGUUUCAAACUAGGACCGACUCUGACAAAGGAACUAACGUUUUCUUCAAAUAUUGGGCAACACGAUUUGAACACAAAGAGUAAACAGAUUCAGCAAUGGAUUGAGAAAAAAUACAAAGUUCAAGUUACUGUGAA